UACAGAGGUCUCAAGCGUUGUUCGGAUUCAUUGGGCGUAAAGAGCUCGUAGGCGGCCUGUUGCGUCCGCUGUGAAAUCCCGGGGCUCAACCCCGGGCCUGCAGUGGAUACGGGCUGGCUAGAGGCAGGCAGGGGAGAACGGAAUUCCUGGUGUAGCGGUGAAAUGCGCAGAUAUCAGGAGGAACACCGGUGGCGAAGGCGGUUCUCUGGGCCGAUACUGACGCUGAGGCGCGAAAGCGUGGGGAGCAAACAGG
rnacentral:rRNA from 1 species